AGUUUUAGAAUUUCAGCUCUUACUUAAGGUCUUUGCUCUAUUUUGAAUUGAUUUCUAUACACUGUGAGAGAUAUGGAUUUAUUUUUAUCCUUCAAUAUGUGAGUGUCUCGUUUGCCCACACCAUUUAUUGAAGAAGCUGUGUUUUUCCCAGUGCCAGCUCCUUGCUGACAGGUCCAGGAGAGAGGAGAGAGGUCCGGACCCCAUCUCUCUGAGACUGAGCAGGAUGGCGAGUGUCAAUGGCCCAAAAGAAACACACUCAACUUUAUGGCAUCAGCCUCUUGAUUAUAUAAGGUCGGAGCAUAGGGAGGGGGAGUUUUGGUGAGGUUAACUAAAGGGCACCGAACGAGUAAAGCUGUGCUGAAAAGAACAGUGGCCAAGGCAAGGAUAUUCUUAUACCACAAACAGUCAUGCAGAUGGAAGUCUGGCCAACAAAACCAUAAAGCAUCAUGUCUCACUGUGACUCAAUCUGUCAGCUCAAGUACAAGCCUUGAGGAUGCAAGUUCUUCUGCAUUCCCAAAUGCUUCCUUCCUUUUGUCUCCAGUUAAAGACAUUUACCACUUUCUGGGAAGGAUUUCAACUUCAACUUUUCAUGAAAUACGAUGAGAGGUCGACUCAUGAUGGACUCAUCAGAAAUAACUGGAGGUGGGAUCGAGCAAUGUCAUCACCAAUAGGUUGUGCAGCAACAAUUACUUGGAGCAACAGAGAACCACGGGACAGCAGAGACCAUAUCUCCAACCAUUGAUUGCCCUUCAGGUAAACCAGGAAGUAGGAGUAACUGGACCACUGCCCCUACCUCAUGGUAGUUGGAAAGGGAAAAAUUGAACUUACCAUAUAGAGAAAAAUUUGGUAGCUUAAGUGGUCAUUUCACUCAGUAAUUCGAGUGCCUGUUGAGAUGUGUGUACAAGCUCAGACAGUCUUCGCUGAGCUGUGUCCAGACUACUAAAAAGCCGAUGAAGCACAUUCUUUAUUCUGCUACAAGGCAAAUGUGGAAAUGUUUGUUUUGAUGAAAACCCAGUUAGCUGCUUUAUAAAUGUACGAUGAAGGCAAAUUUAACUGGCUGGGAUUGAAUGAAGCCACAGCGAAACAAUGAGAGUGGUUGCAGGAUUCUAGGAAUUUUUGUAUUUGAACAAAUAAAAAGAUAAACCUGUAUUGUGUUCCCAGGGUGGCUACUGUAGGUUUUAAAUAAAUUAAUGUAGAUAAAGCCCGCUUUUCUGGUGUCUUGUUUUGUGACCAAUGAAGACUGCAUCUGGACUAGGAAUGAAGGCAUGUGUCCACUUACCUUUUCAGCUCUAGGCCCCUUUCUGGUACAGACACAAAACAUAUUGCCUCAAGUCUCGGUGAGUUCACAUAUGUAUUAAUUCUGAUGAAUUAGAGAACAUAACUUUCUGGGUGUUCUCCAGCCUUUCUGACCCUUAUGUCUGGAAAAAGGAUUUGUAGUAGUUCAUAACUUGAACAGAAACAAAAGAUCUCUCUGCUGUGUUAUAGACAAGAUUGUAUAAACAGUCUAAUAAAAUGGGAAAUAAAUAGGAUAGGUUUGACUUAGUGUUGGACAUAUUCAGAAGUUGAAGCUGUCCUUUAAAAUGUAAACCUUCACUGUAGUAUAUAUUCACACUUAGAUAACUUUGAUAAAGUAUUAGAACUGUGACACAUUAUAGACUUUCCUUUUACUGUUAAUAAGAUUUAAGUUGUUUGCCCUAUAUAUUUUUUUCCUUAUUUCAGAUGCUGUUUUGGUUUCUUGUGCAUAUAUUUAAAUCUUUUUUUUUUUUUUCUGUGUUUAAACCACUAGGUUGAUGGAUGUGUUGUAUUUGCUUUAGUAGAUAUUCUUAAUGUGCUACCAAUUUGGCCACAUGCACACACAACUCACUCACUCACUCACUCACUCACUGAAUUUAGUGUCCCCCACCCUUAUCCCCUGCAGUUCACAUCUUGGAGUCAUAAUCAAGUCAGUGCCUUCGUAAGAGGAGGCAGAGACAUCAGAAUUCUCUUUCUGUCCCAGGUAAGGAUACAGUGACAAGUAACCUCCUAGUAAGCCAGGACAAGUCCUUUACUAAGAAACAAAGUGACUGGCAACUUUAUGCUGGACUUUCUGCCCUCCAGAAGUAAAUCAGAGCAACAAGUGGCAGUUUUCCAAGCAUUUUGAAGUAUUUUGUUUAAAGUAUUUUGUCAUGAUAUCUGAAGGUAACCAUUAUAGAAUAAUGUCACCUGCUGUAUGAAUUCUCUUAUUCUUUUAUGUACUUAUCAUCAUUUUGUGUUACAAAACAUUUAGAAAUGCUAUAUAGUAGCGCAUGAAAUACCAUUUUUAAAAAUCUUUUGGGCAUAUCGUCUGUGGAAACAGGAUCAGAUAUUCCUCUGUAUCAGAUGGUGACUUCGUGUAGGAAUACUCUGUUGAUCCUGGAGAAUGUUAUGCAUACACAGCGUUGGAUGAGUUCCCAAGGGAACCCACGCCAGCAAUGAGAGUGGUGGCCUCACACACAUGAUACUCCUGCACAUGUUUGCCUGAGCUUUGGAUUGUUUUGGGAGUGUGCUGGCAGAGCAAGGGAGGGUGAUGGAGUUAUGAAAUGUGGAAUAUAUGGCCCAGGCCCAAUCGGGCCCUGGGGUUAACUUUGGCUCAGCAGCUUGGCUCUGCCUUUAAUAUAUUUUCUUUCCCUAACAGCCUGGACUUGGCAGGUUGGGAGGGAGGAUGCGAGGCAUUGCCCCACUGUGGUGCAAAACUAUGGUGUGGACUCAAAAGAGCUCCUCUAACUAAACCUAGAGCCUAUAACUCAUGUGAAGCUUCUUUGUCACCAGACAUGUCAGCAUUUUUAGAAGAUGAUUUUCCAUUUUAGGGAAUAAAAGUGGCCAUUCAUCCCUUCUGAUUACUUUUCUCUUGUCUAUCAUACUUGCCUAGACUCCUGUCACACCAUUGCUGGGUUCUGGUGUCAUCUACCUCAAAAUGGCACCUUUUAAUUCUUCCUGGUUAUAUAUACUGAGUGCCAGUACAAGUAUGAAGUGCUUUUAUCCUACCAUAUUGCCAUAAAAAGUGUUGGUUUUAUUUUUCCUUUUGUAUUUUCCUGAUGACCAAGGUUGUUAGGUAUCCAGUAAUUAGUUAUUGAUU
rnacentral:lncRNA from 1 species